CAGGAUGAACGCUAGCGGCAGGCUUAACACAUGCAAGUCGAGGGGCAACGCGAGUAGCAAUACUUGGCGGCGACCGGCGCAAGGGUGCGUAACGCGUGAGCAACAUGCCCGUAUCAGGGGGAUAAUCCAGGGAAACUUGGUCUAAUACCCCAUAGUAAUUUUGUAAGGCAUCUUAUAAGAUUUAAAGCUUUGGUGGAUACGGAUUGGCUCGCGUGACAUUAGCUGGAUGGUAAGGUAACGGCUUACCAUGGCUAUGAUGUCUAGGGGUUCUGAGAGGAAGGUCCCCCACACUGGAACUGAGACACGGUCCAGACUCCCACGGGAGGCAGCAGUGAGGAAUAUUGGACAAUGGAUGGAAAUCUGAUCCAGCCAUGCCGCGUGAAGGAAGAAGGUCCUAUGGAUUGUAAACUUCUUUUGUAUGGGAGCAAUAAGGCCUACGAGUAGGUUGAUGAGAGUACCAUACGAAUAAGCACCGGCUAACUCCGUGCCAGCCGCGGC
rnacentral:rRNA from 1 species